rnacentral:rRNA from 1 species
ACGGGUGAGUAACGCGUGGGAAUCUACCCAUCUCUACGGAAUAACGCAUGGAAACGUGUGCUAAUACCGUAUACGUCCUUCGGGAGAAAGAUUUAUCGGAGAUGGAUGAGCCCGCGUUGGAUUAGCUAGUUGGUGGGGUAAAGGCCUACCAAGGCGACGAUCCAUAGCUGGUCUGAGAGGAUGAUCAGCCACACUGGGACUGAGACACGGCCCAGACUCCUACGGGAGGCAGCAGUGGGGAAUAUUGGACAAUGGACGCAAGCCUGAUCCAGCCAUGCCGCGUGAGUGGUGAAGGCCCUAGGGUUGUAAAGCUCUUUCACCGGUGAAGAUAAUGACGGUAACCGGAGAAGAAGCCCCGGCUAACUUCGUGCCAGCAGCCGCGGUAAUACGAAGGGGGCUAGCGUUGUUCGGAUUUACUGGGCGUAAAGCGCACGUAGGCGGACUAUUAAGUCAGGGGUGAAAUCCCGGGGCUCAACCCCGGAACUGCCUUUGAUACUGGUAGUCUUGAGUUCGAGAGAGGUGAGUGGAAUUCCGAGU